ACUGUACCUAAUAUAUACCUAUACGAUUUUUAUUCAUUUUCAGUAGUUGCAGUUAACUAUAUUGAGUGGUAAAUAUUUUUCAGAAUAUUUAUUAAAUAGUUUUAUUUUUACUUACUCGUACUCAUUUACACAUCUUUCUUUUUAAAUAUUUUAUAAACCAAGUUAUACAGUGUUAUUAUAAUAAUUUGAAAUGCCUAUACGUUUAUAAAUGUUUUUUCUUAAAACAUUAUAGGUAGGUAUAUCUUAUAUAUUUAAUGACCCAUGUUGCUUAUACUAGUUAUACUCACCUAUUACAAACACAAAAUAGUUUUUUAAGGUCUUAUCAAUGACUUAUUCAGUAUUUGUUCAUAAUAAUAUUAAUAUGUUAUACAUUUAUAAAUUAUAAAUCAAGUAAUUACAUUAUAUAUAUAAUAUAUUUUUAAAAUGUCAAAAUAAUUCAUAUUAAUAUGAAACUAACUUGGUAUAAUGUUUAUGCCACUGUGUAAAAAUAUUAUUUUUUAAUAUAAAAAUUUAAACUUUUUAUAAUUAUAUCGAUAAAUGUAUUAAAGUUGUGUAUUUACAGUAGCGUUACGAAUAUAUUUUUUUUAUCAAUUUUAUAUGUAAUAGUAAUUUUGUUAGUGUAAAAUAUAAAAAUAUUUUAACUAUCAUUAUUAAAUAAGUAAUAUGUCUAUUUAAUUCAGUGUAAUAAAUUAAUAAAUAAUAUUACACCAAUUUACUCUCAGAGUACAUUAUAUCUACCAAACGCGUUCUACAUUGUUUUGUGUAAUAGGGCAACUGUAGGGAAGAUAAUAUUAUUAAUAUUAUACUGUACGCGUUAAAUACUUUUAAUUGGAACUAUAUAGGUUACAUACUUACAUUAAUGUUAAUUUAUAUUAGUAUAUAAUAAUAUAAUAUAAUAUAAACAGGUUUUGAUUAUGUGUGAAAUAUGGACUGGUCGCGGAAUCACGAUGAAGAUCGAUAUGAAGAAAAUUUGCAGUUUCUUCGGCGGCGGUGCACUACUACGUAUAGUCUGAAGAUUGACACAACUCGGUUUCACUGGAACAGUCGACGCUUAAAUCUUGCCAUAAUAUCGGAAAAACAAAAAUACUGAAAUAAUUACGCUAUAUCCUUAUAUAAUGUCAACCCGGAGGACGAUUGGCAGUAUCAUUAGGAAGCUGAUGAAUAACGAAAAAAAGUGUCGCAGGGCUGUGUUUGUUUAAUACUAUAAUUUUUUGAACAGUAGUACAGUAUAUUAUGAAUAUUUACUUAAAUUAUAUUUUAUUUUUAUGGUUUUUUUUUCAGAUAAUAUACUGUACUACGGUUUUAGGUGUUCUUUUUAUUUUAAUAAUACGUUGAUAAAUUAUCAAUUUUUUCAAUUUUUUUUCUUAUCACAAAGCUAGUUCGUCUUUGUGUAUGUUUAAAUUUAUAUUUUUUAUAGUUAUUGUGCUGUUUAACUUUCUUAUAAAAGAGAGAGAGGAAUUAAAAAGGUGGCCACCGAACAGAAAGUUAAACUACAAUAUACUAUAAUCUUUUUAGUUCUUGUUUACAUUUUUAACUGAUAAAUUAUGAAUAUAAAAUUUCAAAUUAAUUUAAAUUCAAAAAUAAAAGAACACCAACAUAGAUUUCUUAAACAUUAAAAUUUUACUAUAAAUUUAAAUUACAUUUUAAUCAGCACAUUAGUUGAAGUUUUAUAGGAACCGAACAUUUGGCUGGAUCAUGGACUACCCACCGACGGAGAAUUUGUCAUUGAGCUGAAGGAAAAUGUGUCAGCACUCGGCUUCGUUUCAACUCGGAGGAAGAUUGGCAGCAUCAAUAAGAAGCUCAUCUUAAUGUCAACUGUCCAAAGGAUUUUGAAGAAGAAUUCGUCACAAAGCUGAUGGAAAAUGUGUCAGCACUCGGCUGUAUUUCAACACGGAGGACGUCUAGCAGCAGCAAAAAGAAAUUCAACUGAUAAUCAACUGUCCAAAGGAUUUUGAAGAAGAAUUUGUCACAAAGCUGAUGGGAAAUGUGUCGGCACUCGGCUUCGUUUCAACCCGGAGGAAGAUUGACAGCAUCAAUAAGAAGCUCAUCUUAAUUUAGUUGUCCCCCCUUUACGCAUAAGCGCUCAUCUCUCAUCCACUCAUCCAACACAUUGACUAUCGCCGGCCGGCAACACACAUAUAUUAUACACAUUACCCGUUUUAUAUUAUAUAGUAUUAUUAAUAUCCACAUAAUUUAAGUUAUUGUAUAUUUUUUUUUUAUUAUUUGAAUGCAUUCAUAUGAUCAGUAGCGUAUUUAGGAAUUUUAGGAUAAGGGCAACACAUAUUUUUCCGCCUCCCCCCCCCCCAUUAAAAAAAAUUAAAAAACUUCUACGCCGCGCAAUAGUGGCCAAACUGUUAAUACCAUAGAAUACCAUGUUAUAUAAAUAUUAUAGUAUUUUAUACCUCUAUGGCACACAUUUGUUGUGAAAAUUAUUAAUGAUUGACGUCACUGCGCCAGUACUCAUAAAGUACGAAAUAAAAAUUUUCCGUCCCUCUAAAUCUUUAAAAAAUUGCCGUUCUGGACAACUGGACCCAAAUCCCCUACCUAAAUACGCCCCUGCAUAUAAUGCGUUCUCGCUUACGAUGUGGAUUAGGCCUACUGGGGACACCACAAUAAAAAAACGCGCCUCGUGUAAUACCUCAUAAAUUUAUUAAAUAAUACGGACAAUGUCAUUGUACGUCGUUUAAUAAUAAAGGUGGUGUGGAAAAUUACCUAACACUGUUAUUCUGCGAGUGAAUCUGCCCCCUAAAACAUCAUAAGACAUCAGUACAUCAUUAUUAAAAGAUCUUUUUUAUUGACCAAAUUGUUGUGGGAUUUAUUUAGGUACUUAACAUUUAAUUCGUAAAAACCAAAUUGUAAAAUAAAAUUACCUGUAAAUUAAAUAUUGACAAGCCGAUAGCUUAUGAUGUUGUUAAGGUCUCGUUUCCAAAA